rnacentral:rRNA from 1 species
AGUGAACGCUGGCGGUAGGCUUAACACAUGCAAGUCGAACGGCAGCACAGUAAGAGCUUGCUGUUAUGGGGGGCGAGUGGCGGACGGGAGAGGAAUACAUCGGAAUCUACUUUUUCGUGGGGGAUAACGUAGGGAAACUUACGCUAAUACCGCAUACGACCUACGGGUGAAAGGAGGGGAUCUUCGGACCUUGCGCGGUUGAAUGAGCCGAUGUUGGAUUAGCUAGUUGGCGGGUUAAAGGCCCACCAAGGCGACGAUCCGUAGCUGGUCUGAGAGGAUGAUCAGCCACACUGGAAGUGAGACACGGUCCAGACUCCUACGGGAGGCAGCAGUGUGGAAUAUUGGACAGUGGGCGCAAGCCUGAUCCAGCCAUACCGAGUGUGUGAAGAAGGCCUUCGGGUUGUAAAGCCGUUUUGUUGGUAAAGAAAAGCAGCAGGUUAAUACCCCGCUGUACUGACGGUAAUCAAAGAAUAAGCACCGGCUAACUUCGUG